CCUACGGGGGGCAGCAGUGAGGAAUAUUGGUCAAUGGGCGGGAGCCUGAACCAGCCAAGCCGCGUGAGGGAAGAAGGUACAGCGUAUCGUAAACCUCUUUUGUCAGGGAACAAAGGCGGGGACUAGUCCCCGGCUGAGGGUACCUGAAGAAAAAGCAUCGGCUAACUCCGUGCCAGCAGCCGCGGUAAUACGGAGGUGGCAAGCGUUGUCCGGAAUUACUGGGUGUAAAGGGAGCGUAGGCGGGAAAGCAAGUUGAAUGUUUAAGGUACGGGCUCAACCUGUACAAGCGUUCAAAACUGUUGUUCUUGAGUGGAGUAGAGGUAAGCGGAAUUCCUAGUGUAGCGGUGAAAUGCGUAAAUAUUAGGAGGAACACCAGUGGCGAAGGCGGCUUACUGGGCUGUAACUGACGCUGAGGCUCGAAAGCGUGGGUAGCAAACAGGAUUAGAUACCCCGGUAGUC
rnacentral:rRNA from 1 species